GGAGGCUUGAAUACCAUAAGGACCGUUUUAGAAUACGUAACAGACAACCCACCGGUUCCAGUCGUCAUUUGCGAUGGUAGCGGAAGAGCAGCGGACUUGCUCGCAUUUGCCCAUCGAUACAUGCAUGAUUACGACACGCUUUUAGAAGACGUAAAAGAACAACUAAUUGCUACCAUCGAAAGAACUUUCCAUUUGUCUAGAGACAAUGCUGAGAAGCUUCAUUGUGAACUAAUGCAGUGUGUUCGUCGGAAAGAUUUGAUAACAGUAUUCCGGAUGGGUGAAGGACCGUGCCAAGAACUGGAUCAAGCAAUUCUCAUAGCUCUACUUAAAGGU